CCAAUAGCGUAUAUUAAAGUUGUUGCAGUUAAAAAGCUCGUAGUUGAAUUUCGGGAUCAAUACGUCGGUCAUGCUUUUUGGUACGAACUGGCGUCAUUGGUUUCUCCUUUCUGACGAACCAUGAUGUCAUUAAUUUGGUGUUAUGGGGAGUUGGGACUGUUACUUUGAAAAAAUUAGAGUGUUUAAAGCAGGCAUAAGCUUGAAUACAUUAGCAUGGAAUAAUGAAAUAGGACGUUUGAUCCUAUUUUGUUGGUUUCUAGGAUCAACGUAAUGAUUAAUAGGGAGAGUUGGGGGCAUUAGUAUUCAAUUGUCAGAGGUGAAAUUCUUGGAUUUAUUGAAGACUAACUACUGAGAAAGCAUUUGCCAAGGAUGUUUUCAUUAAUCAAGAACGAAAGUUAGGGGAUCGAAGACGAUCAGAUACCGUCGUAGUCUUAACCAUAAACUAUGCCGACUAGGGAUCGGAUGAUGUUAAUUUUUUAAUGACUCAUUCGGCGCCUUACG
rnacentral:misc_RNA from 1 species